GCUUUUACUGACUUUUCACUUUCCCUUAUAACAUCGGUUUCUCAAACCGAUCUCAUCGUCGGCGAUGUCUGUUGUUCUCUUAAACGUCCAUGUUUUUUUCACCAAAAGGAUUACAGAAGAUAGAUCUACUGAUUAGGCGUUAAGAUCAUGCCAUACGAAGAUCUAAGGUUUGAAAUACGAAGACCCUUCUCUAUGAUUUCUAGAGCCCGUAACCUGUAGAAUCAUGAAGAAAACACCUCGUUGAAGUUACCAAUGGGUAAGGAAUGCGGAGAAGAUCUAUUUUGUUCACGGUUUGCAAGUAAUAGUUGGCAGGAGUUUCAGCUUUUUAAUAAUAACAAAAGGGACAGGGGACAGAUGGGAUAUAUAGAAAAGACCAGGGAGAGACAUGUUGAAGGAUAGACAUGAUCAUCAAUUGUAACAUGACAUAGCAAAGUGAAGGCACACAGAUCAUUUUCUACCUCUAUCAGUAGCAGUAAUCAAGAUGGAAAAGAAGACAACAACCAUGACAUGACAACAGAUUUAUUACAUGACGAAAACUACUAAUCUGAUGCGCUGAACUCAGGAAGUAAGGGAGUAUGACAAUUCAAUUCGACGGUAUGAAGUUUCUUGACCAGAGGUGGUAGCUGCUUGUCUUGUUUCAGAAACUGAGAGUCUUCUGGAAUGUCCGGUUGUUGUUUCCACAACCUCAUCAGUCUCUGAAACUGUGUUGUCGUAUGUGAAUACCCCCAUUGGGUGAUGAAAUUUACAGCUUGGACCAAACUUGCAGAUUCUAUAGCGACUAUAGAACACACACAACGCUUACAGGGCGUAAAGGGAGGCCAAUGGGACUUAAGAGACAAUCAGGAGGAGGAGUUUGUCUAUUUCUAGGGUGAUGAAACUUGCAAACUGUUCCGAAUUUGCAGUCUCCUGUCUUCAUGUAGAAUUGGCAUUCAGGUUGUCCUGGUCUCUCCGGGAAGACACUUUCACUUGGUAAUGCAUAGAUCCCUCCUUGCGGAACAGAUGAGCCUGACUCGUUUUGCUGCAAUUCUCUGUAGUUGUUGUGAUCAUUUCCGGUUCCUGAAGGAGAAACUGAGCCAAGCUGACCCUAACAAAAUGAAAAAGUUCAGUUCGAAUCAUAAGAAUCAGAUGAGCAGUGUUGUCUUUGACACAACUUACGGUGUAAGGGUUCCAUACAACUCCUUGAGGCAUCAUUAAUGGUGUGAAGCCAGAGGGAUCUUGCCAUCGAGGGGUGGGAAUGAAAGAAGCUCUUGACCAAGGAUAAGACUGUUGUUGGCCUGAAGUGGGAACCAUGAGGUUGGUUGUUGGUUGAGGCUGAGGAUGGUUGAAUUUACAAGUGGCGCCAAAUUUACAGUGUCCGGUUCUUAGAAAAUAAGCACAAUCAACCUCAUUCUGUAGUUAUUCAAUCACUAAGACAUGAUGAAACAAUGGCAAGUGUGAUGAUGAAAUAAAUAAAUAAAAAUGUAAAAAACA